rnacentral:rRNA from 1 species
AUUGAACGCUGGCGGCAGGCCUAACACAUGCAAGUCGAACGAGUGGCGGACGGGUGAGUAAUGUCUGGGAAACUGCCUGAUGGAGGGGGAUAACUACUGGAAACGGUAGCUAAUACCGCAUACCAUCAGAUGUGCCCAGAUGGGAUUAGCUAGUGGGUGGGGUAAAGGCUCAACAAGGCGACGAUCCCUAGCUGGUCUGAGAGGAUGACCAGCCAAACUGGAACGGAGCCACGGUCAAGACUCCUACGUGAGGCAGCAGCGGGGAAUAUUGCACGAUGGGCGGAAGCCUGAUGCAGCCAUGCCGAGGGUAUGAAGAAGGCGUUAGGGUUGUAAAGCACUUUCAGCGGGGAGGCGUUACCCGCAGAAGAAGCACCGGCUAACUCCGUGCCAGCCGCCGCGGUAAUAC